UGACUAGUGAAAAGGGUCUUCUGGUU
rnacentral:piRNA from 1 species